CAACAUUUUCGUCGACACAAAGAGCAGCAUAGAAUUUUUGGAAGUAUUAACUCAUUUGAAGAGGAUUUGUAACGUUUCGAACUUGUUUUAAAAUAAAGCCCGAUAUUUUCGUCGACUGUAUGACAAAAAGCAUCGCAGAAUUUUUGGAAAUAUUAACUCAAAUGAACAGGAUUUGUAAAGCUUCGAAAGUGUUUUAAAAUGUGUUCAACAUUUUCGUCGGUUAUAAUAAAGAGCAGCGCAGAAUUUUUGGAAAUAUUAACUCAUUUGAAGAGGAUUUUUAAAGGUAAGC